rnacentral:rRNA from 1 species
GACGAACGCUGGCGGCGUGCUUAACACAUGCAAGUCGUACGGUAAGGCCCUUUCGGGGGUACACGAGUGGCGAACGGGUGCGUAACACGUGAGUAACCUGCCCACAACUUUGGGAUAACGCUAGGAAACUGGUGCUAAUACUGGAUAUGUGCCCCUGCUGCAUGGUGGGGGUUGGAAAGCUCCGGCGGUUGUGGAUGGACUCGCGGCCUAUCAGCUUGUUGGUGGGGUAGUGGCCUACCAAGGCGGCGACGGGUAGCCGGCCUGAGAGGGUGACCGGCCACAUUGGGACUGAGAUACGGCCCAGACUCCUACGGGAGGCAGCAGUGGGGAAUAUUGCACAAUGGGCGCAAGCCUGAUGCAGCAACGCCGCGUGCGGGAUGACGGCCUUCGGGUUGUAAACCGCUUUCAGCAGGGACGAAGCUUUUUGUGACGGUACCUGCAGAAGAAGCACCGGCUAACUACGUG